rfam:Ictidomys tridecemlineatus contig094943, whole genome shotgun sequence.
GGGAUUGUGGCUCAGUGGUAGAGCGCUGGCCUAGGACAUGAGAGGACCUGGGUUCGAUCCUCAGCACCA